GCCUAACACAUGCAAGUCGAACGCAGUAGCAAUACUGAGUGGCGAACGGGUGAGUAUAAUGUGGGUAUCUGCCCUUUGGUUUGGAAUAACGCGAGGAAACUUGCGCUAAUACCGGAUAAGCCCUUACGGGGAAAGCUUUAUGCGCCAAUGGAUGAGCCCAUACUUGAUUAGCUAGUUGGUAAGGUAAAAGCUUACCAAGGCUACGAUCAAUAGCUGAUCUGAGAGGAUGAUCAGCCACAUUGGGACUGAGACACGGCCCAAACUCCUACGGGAGGCAGCAGUGGGGAAUCUUGCACAAUGGGGGAAACCCUGAUGCAGCGAUGCCGCGUGAGUGAAGAAGGCCUUUGGGUUGUAAAGCUCUUUCGUCGGGGAAGAAAAUGACUGUACCCGAAUAAGAAGGUCCGGCUAACUUCGUGCCAGCAGCCGCGGUAAUACGAAGGGACCUAGCGUAGUUCGGAAUUACUGGGCUUAAAGAGUACGUAGGUGGUUAAAAAAGUUGAUGGUGAAAUCCCAAGGCUUAACCUUGGAACUGCCAUCAAAACUUUUUAACUAGAGUAUGAUAGAGGUAAGUGGAAUUUCUAGUGUAGAGGUGAAAUUCGUAGAUAUUAGAAAGAACACCAAUUGCGAAGGCAGCUUUCUGGAUCAUUACUGACACUGAGGUACGAAAGCAUGGGUAGCGAAGAGGAUUAGAUACCCUCGUAGUCCAUGCCGUAAACGAUGUGUGUUAGACGUUGGAAAUUUAUUUUUCAGUGUCGCAGCAAAAGCGUUAAACACACCGCCUGGGGAGUACGACC
rnacentral:rRNA from 1 species